rnacentral:rRNA from 1 species
UACGUAGGGUGCAAGCGUUGUCCGGAAUUACUGGGCGUAAAGCGCACGUAGGCGGAUUGUUUAAGUCGGGGGGUGAAAUCCUGGAGCUCAACUCCAGAACUGCCUUUGAUACUGGGAAUCUCGAGUCCGGGAGAGGUGAGUGGAACUGCGAGUGUAGAGGUGAAAUUCGUAGAUAUUCGCAAGAACACCAGUGGCGAAGGCGGCUCACUGGCCCGGUACUGACGCUGAGGUGCGAAAGCGUGGGGAGCAACAGG